AAAAGACAACGAACACCCACACGCAAAUUUUAAAUACAAGCAAAGACCUGGCUUCAGUUCUUCGUACUGGACAUAAAAAUGGUUGGAAUCUGGUUAUUCCUUCUCAUCUCUCUCCAAGGAUAUAAGGCUUCAUUCACCCCUAGUGUCAACUGUCUGAUCAUGAACCUGGAUUAUGUCAUCUGUAGAUGGAGUGAAUGGGGGAGCCCAGAGGUGAACUCCACCUUCUUCCACAACAAGUU